CAGCCUGAUCAGCCAUGCCGCGUGAGUGAUGAAGGCCCUAGGGUUGUAAAGCUCUUUCACCGGUGAAGAUAAUGACGGUAACCGGAGAAGAAGCCCCGGCUAACUUCGUGCCAGCAGCCGCGGUAAUAACCUCCUGUU
rnacentral:rRNA from 1 species